GAUGAAGAACGUAGCGAAAUGCGAUAAGUAAUGUGAAUUGCAGAAUUCAGUGAAUCAUCGAAUCUUUGGACGCACAUUGCGCCCAUUAGUAUUCUAGUGGGCAUGCCUGUUCGAGCGUCAUUAAGUCCACUUAAGCCCUGCUUAGUGUUGGGAGACUGCUCCAGCGGUGCUACCCUGUAGCUACCCUGCAGCUCCUCAAAGACAGCGGCGGAGUUGUGGUAUCCUCUGAGCUUAGUAACUUGUUCUAGCUUUCGAGUACACCACUUCCCCUGCCGUAAAACCCUUAAUUUUUAAUGGUUGACCUCGGAUCAGGUAGGAAUACCCGCUGAACUUAAGCAUAUCAAUAAGCGGAGGA
rnacentral:misc_RNA from 1 species